AGACGAAAAGCGAGAGGCAAAUUGGGAGCGGCGACGAACGGAGGCGGGUGGGGCGGCGGUCACGGCCAAGUUGGCGCCCACGAAUAUUCCCCUCCUGGCCGGGGCCAUGCGACGCCACCGCCACCAACAUCUCACCGCGUCACUCUCCCGGCCGUUCUCGCGCACGGAAUAUUCUGCCUCCAAUUCUCCGUGGCGAAGGCGCCAAUGCGGUAAAGGCCUGCGCAGCUCGCUGUCAUCGAUCCAUUUUGGAAACUCAAAUCCCUGGGGAUUAAAGGGUACUGAAGACUUAUACGGUUAGAACUUAGGAGGGAAUUAAAAGGGGAUGGGGG
rnacentral:lncRNA from 7 species